rnacentral:rRNA from 1 species
GAACGGUGAUGAGGAGCUUGCUUCUCUGAUCAGUGGCGAACGGGUGAGUAACACGUGAGCAAUCUGCCCUUGACUCUGGGAUAAGCGUUGGAAACGACGUCUAAUACCGGAUACGACCUUGGAAGGCAUCUUCUGGGGUGGAAAGAAUUUUGGUCAAGGAUGAGCUCGCGGCCUAUCAGCUAGUUGGUGAGGUAAUGGCUCACCAAGGCGACGACGGGUAGCCGGCCUGAGAGGGUGACCGGCCACACUGGGACUGAGACACGGCCCAAACUCCUACGGGAGGCAGCAGUGGGGAAUAUUGCACAAUGGGCGAAAGCCUGAUGCAGCAACGCCGCGUGAGGGACGACGGCCUUCGGGUUGUAAACCUCUUUUAGUAGGGAAGAAGCGUAAAAGUGACGGUACCUGCAAAAAAAGCACCGGCUAACUACGUGCCAGCAGCCGCGGUAAUACGUAGGGUGCAAGCGUUGUCCGGAAUUAUUGGGCGUAAAGAGCUCGUAGGCGGUUUGUCGCGUCUGCUGUGAAAACCCGAGGCUCAACCUCGGGCCUGCAGUGGGUACGGGCAGACUAGAGUGCGGUAGGGGAGAUUGGAAUUCCUGGUGUAGCGGUGGAAUGCGCAGAUAUCAGGAGGAACACCAAUGGCGAAGGC